GGCGUCGCGGAGCUCGGGCCGGUGGAAGGUUUACCUGCUAGGCUCGUCCCACCUGUGUGGAGCUCCCAUCGCCCUCCAGCGUUGCGCAGCCUGAAGGGACAGGACGGACAAGCGGGUGCCUCCUUCUAAUUCAUCUUCACCAUUGUGGUUGUCAAUAUGGCAUGCAGAAUUAUCCCUCUUUCCAGGUUUUCCCCAAGGACCCUGGACAAUGCUGGUUUUUCCUAUGUGCACCACCAAAGGGCCUAUCCAGAUGGAGCUGAGCCUGACACUCUAACCGGUUCUCUGGGUGUACUGCAAAGGUCUAAUAAAAGGCACCUUUGCCCGGUUGCUUCAAUUCUAGGAAGCUGUUCAAUGUUUGACUAUAUUUCUCCAUACUCAUUUGAAAACAGUUCAUCAGAUUGGAACGACCUGGAGCAGCCAGCAGAGUGACAAAUGAGGAAGAGGACAGAAUCUAGCUGAAGAAGCUCUGGAAGAUACCAUUUGAAGUCUUGAGUGCUUGAACUCACAAAGAAAGCACAUGAGUACACACUAGCACUUGAGCUCUUCAUUUUAAACAGAAUAAAGAAUGUACUGCUAUUAUUGUCAUUUUACAGAUAGGGAAAUUCAGACUCACCAGGGCUACUCAGAUACAAAGAAAAUGAGCCAGAAUUUCAAGCAAGCCUGAGCUUAGAAUCUACACUAUUUUUUUUUUUUUUUUUGAGACAUGGUCUUACUUUGUCACCCAGGCUGGAGUUCAGUGGUAUUAGGUUGGCACAAAAGUAAUUGUGGUCUCUGCCACUUAAAACUAGAGCCCGAAACUGCAAUUACUUUUGCACCAACCUAAUGCACUUACCAGAGCUCACUUACGCCUUGACCUCCUGGGCUCAAGUGAUUCUCCCACCUCAGCCUCCCAAGUGGCUGGGAAUGUGGGCAUGCACCACCCUGCCCGGCUAGCUUUUCUUUCUUUUUUUUUUGUGGAGACAGGAUUUUGCCAUGUUGUCCCGGCUGGUCUUUAACUCCUGAGCUCAAACUAUCCUUCUGCCCUGGCCUCCCAAAGUUCUGGGAUUACAGGCAUGAGCCACUGUGCCCGGCCCAGAACCUAUGCUCCUAACUGCCACACCAAUUGACCUCUAUUCAGCCAUUUUUAUUUCUAUAGCACUUGGUAUAAUUUCACUUUGCACACAGUAUCUAUAGAUAAUCAUUCCAGGGCAUGUAAUCGUCAUAAGAUUAUUUAUGUUAUUGCAUGUGUAUUACUGCAUGUAAUCUUCAUGUGUUAUUGCCUCUAACAAGUUAUGUAUUUCCAUGUAGUCUUCAUAACUGUGUAUAGAAGACCAUUUUAGAGAUGGAAAACUGAGACUCAGAAGUGGUAAUUGUCCUACUGGUCAGAGAUUUAGCCAGGGUUUGGAUUGUGGAAUGCAGAGGACCACUUACUUUUCACUAGACCAUAAAUGCUCCUCACCACUGAGGCAUGUCAAAUGCCAGAUAUCUCCAGGAACCUUAGGCUACGUCUCCAUUGUUUUUGCUUUUUCCCCCCUUAGACACAGCUUGGCAAAGAACAAAUGAUCCCAAACACCAAACAGCACACUUGGAAACAUUUAACCCGCAUACUUUCAGACUUUCUGGCAUGGACCAACCUCUUGUCUUACCUUUGUUCCUGGCCAGAAAGAAAUGGCAUGAAAAGAUGGACAGUUUUUAUAACCUCUUUGAGCUCUAAACCAUGUUUCCUGUGCACUUAGGAGAUCUUAAUAGAAACCAAGUACUUCUUUUAGGCAUCUAUACUCUUAAUGCCGUAAGUCAAGUCAAGUACCCAGGUGGUUAAGAUAACUGUACCAACAGAAACAUUUUUAAAAAAUAUCCUAACACAACAUGAAGUGACCAUCGCGAAUUCAAAGAAGCAGGCAUAUUUCUUAAAGGUUGAAAAGAGGUGAGUCUUUCACAAGAUUCUAGCUCAAGGCCAUAUUUGCACAAGUAUAGUCAUUCCUCUAGCAAGGUUUUGUUUAUCUGGCCAUUAAAAAAAAUUAAAACAAC
rnacentral:lncRNA from 1 species